AUUUCUGUGGUGCAAUGGGCCAAUGUGUCUGACUGUUAACCAGAAAGUUGGUGGUUUGAGCCCACCCAGGGAUG